GAUGAACGCUGGCGGCGUGCCUAAUACAUGCAAGUCGAGCGAACGGACGAGAAGCUUGCUUUUCUGAUGUUAGCGGCGGACGGGUGAGUAACACGUGGAUAACCUACCUAUAAGACUGGGAUAACUUCGGGAAACCGGAGCUAAUACCGGAUAAUAUUUUGAACCGCAUGGUUCAAAAGUGAAAGACGGUCUUGCUGUCACUUAUAGAUGGAUCCGCGCUGCAUUAGCUAGUUGGUAAGGUAACGGCUUACCAAGGCAACGAUGCAUAGCCGACCUGAGAGGGUGAUCGGCCACACUGGAACUGAGACACGGUCCAGACUCCUACGGGAGGCAGCAGUAGGGAAUCUUCCGCAAUGGGCGAAAGCCUGACGGAGCAACGCCGCGUGAGUGACGAAGGUCUUCGGAUCGUAAAACUCUGUUAUUAGGGAAGAACAUAUGUGUAAGUAACUGUGCACAUCUUGACGGUACCUAAUCAGAAAGCCACGGCUAACUACGUGCCAGCAGCCGCGGUAAUACGUAGGUGGCAAGCGUUAUCCGGAAUUAUUGGGCGUAAAGCGCGCGUAGGCGGUUUUUUAAGUCUGAUGUGAAAGCCCACGGCUCAACCGUGGAGGGUCAUUGGAAACUGGAAAACUUGAGUGCAGAAGAGGAAAGUGGAAUUCCAUGCGUAGCGGUGAAAUGCGCAGAGAUGUGGAGGAACACCAGUGGCGAAGGCGACUUUCUGGUCUGUAACUGACGCUGAUGUGCGAAAGCGUGGGGAUCAAACAGGAUUAGAUACCCUGGUAGUCCACGCCGUAAACGAUGAGUGCUAAGUGUUAGGGGGUUUCCGCCCCUUAGUGCUGCAGCUAACGCAUUAAGCACUCCGCCUGGGGAGUACGACCGCAAGGUUGAAACUCAAAGGAAUUGACGGGGGCCCGCACAAGCGGUGGAGCAUGUGGUUUAAUUCGAAGCAACGCGAAGAACCUUACCAAAUCUUGACAUCCUUUGACAACUCUAGAGAUAGAGCCUUCCCCUUCGGGGGACAAAGUGACAGGUGGUGCAUGGUUGUCGUCAGCUCGUGUCGUGAGAUGUUGGGUUAAGUCCCGCAACGAGCGCAACCCUUAAGCUUAGUUGCCAUCAUUAAGUUGGGCACUCUAAGUUGACUGCCGGUGACAAACCGGAGGAAGGUGGGGAUGACGUCAAAUCAUCAUGCCCCUUAUGAUUUGGGCUACACACGUGCUACAAUGGACAAUACAAAGGGCAGCGAAACCGCGAGGUCAAGCAAAUCCCAUAAAGUUGUUCUCAGUUCGGAUUGUAGUCUGCAACUCGACUACAUGAAGCUGGAAUCGCUAGUAAUCGUAGAUCAGCAUGCUACGGUGAAUACGUUCCCGGGUCU
rnacentral:rRNA from 1 species